AAUAGUAAUCGUUGAUUAGAUAAACUUGUAGGUAGUUCUAUCUAAUUUCGAUAUGUUCGAAUUUUGAUAAUCCUUUAGAUGAUGUUCUCGUAGCAUAACUACGAUAUUCGAAAUCAUGUUGUAGUAAGAUAAUAAUCGUUGAUUAGGUAAACAUGUGCAUAUAAUUUCGAUACAUUCUAAUAUUUUAAUCAUUCUCGUGUUUCGUAUCGGCGUCGUCAGGGCGAACGUGGAAAUAAAUAAAAUAGAAUGAGAAGGGGUAGGGAUUGAGAUGUGGAGGGGAAUUGACCUUGCCUCUCAGCAAUGGGAUGCGAUGCGAUGCGAUGCGAUGCGAUGUGAUCCGAUGAGAAAGAAAGAGAGAGAGAGAGAAAGAGAGAGAGAGAGAGAGAAAGAUGGAAGAGGAAGGGGGAAGAGGAGAGGAGGUGAGGUGAGACGAAGCGAGGCGAAGCGAGACGAUGGUAGGAACGAAGUCUCGAAGGGAGGUAAGGGUAUUCCCUGAGGUGGCUUCGACUUUCCAUUUCUGGUAUAUGGCGAAUCAGCAGCACAUAGAGUGAACUAAACGAAAGAGAAUUUCGAAGAAUACAUUCUCGUAAGCUUUUCGACCGAGAAAACGAAAAAAAAAAAGAAAGAAAGAAAGAAGAAACAAAAAAGAAAUAAGCAAGCUUAUGAAUCAGUGACGCGUGUUUAAGACUCACCUUUCUCCACAGUUUCUCUGACUCGCUCUCACUAUUUUGUACUCUUUUUCCACGCGUAAGUAAACCUCCUAAAUGUCUUUCGUUCGGACUACUUUGACUAAGGAUGAGAUUCGAACACGAUCCUCUAGGCGAGAAACGUACAGCUACCUCGUGGAACUCGUCGACACGAAGGAUGUGUGUGUGUGUGUGUGUAUAUAUAUAUAUAUAAAAUAUAAAAAGAAAAAAAAAGAACGAGUUCUUCGCCGCAGAGUGAAAUUUAAUAACUGCUCUGCAUCAGGCUUCUUCUCGACGAAGCUCUCUUCUCCGGAGAUGCAACCUUUCUCUCUAUCUCUUUAUCUCUUUCUCGUAAUCGUGUCUUCUUAAAUUGUCGAAAGAGAAGAAGUGCUAAGCGUUUUCAGGAAGACGAAGGGAUAGUAUUCUGAACUGUCGACAAGGUCGAGACACACACUCUCUCUCUCUCUCUCUUUCUCUAUUUCUUUCUUUCUCUAUCGUAUAUGGCAAAAGGUAGAUUCAUCAGCGAAUUAACGGGAGAAUCGAGUGGCCCGUCUCUCUUCUCGAGGAGGACCACAGAACGGAGGCCGCCUGCGGAGGUGGUGGUGGUGCUGUGCGGAGGUUGCCGUGUUGGCAGAGGAAGAGAGGGGGAGUACUCCCUCUCUCCGAUUCUGAGGAGAAAAAGAGAGAAAGAGAAAGAGAGAGAGAGAGAGAGAGAGAGAGAGAGAGAGAGAGAGAAACACGCUCUCCUCCGGUGCACACUCUCGCGGUGACUUCGACCGGCAAAGUGCUCGCGUUCGUGAAAGUCCACAGACGACUUUCAGGGUCGUCUGCUUGGCUCCUUAGCACAAGAUCUCCUUCUCGUUCGCUCUCUCGGUCUUUUCCUCGGUUCGUCCGGAACUGACUGUUUUGUGAAAAAGGAGCCAUCGCAAGGAGCUAAGAUCGUCGCACUCGUAAGCACGAUUCGUAACGCGACGUACCUACCGGUUGGAUCUUUCAGAUUCAUACUCUCCUAUCUUUGAUUAUUUAUUCGUGGCGAUCGUCAGACGGAAGCAAGGAUCGUGUAUCGUUGGUGUUGUAUAGAGCAGAAGAAGGGAGAGGGAAGAUAGACCGAUAUAGAAGGUCGCCAAACAUUUAUUUACAUUUGUAAACGAAAUGAGUUCGCGGCUUCGUAGCUCUUCAAUGUCGAAGGACAGACCAAAAGCAACGUCAUUCGGCAGCGAUACGUUUUAUUACGAGCUGGAAGAACGAACUGAUAAAAGGAAUGGCAAAGCGACGCGGGAAAAUAGUUAUCGCUUUGGGGAUUUUCGUAGGGAGUGUUCCGAGAGAAAUGGGAGACGGUUCGGAGAAGAAAUCGAAGAGGAUCCGGAUAUUCUUUAUAAGAGAAGCAAGGAUCGUUUUGCAUCGUGGGAUAUGAAAGAUAUAGCUGGACGUAAGGAAGUAGAGGAAAGGAAGAAGGAAGAUGUGGAGGUGGAGGAAGAGGAAGAGGAGGAGGAGGAGGAAGAGGAGGAGGAGGAGGAGGAGAAGGAAGAGGAGAAUGAGAAGAACGAUAAGCCAGCGUUGCUUUACGAGGAAUACGUAGCAAGUCCGAGAAAAGAGAAUCAAAAAGAAAAGAUUUUCGAUCGAGAAAUACACGGAUCGAGAAAAGAAAAUACGAGGAAGGAUGAAAGUUCCUCGGAAGGGAUCGAUUCACGAAAUUAUACGUUCGCGGAGUCCUCGGCCGUUCGAAGAAAUGGCGAGAACCGGAAGAAAACGAGUUUUCCUAGUAUCGAUGUACGAACGGAUACAGAUCAUAGGAUCGGAGCGAUGAUCGAACGACUGAAAACACGCGAAGAGGAUAAGUUGAGAACUAGGAGAGAACGGGGUAGUCCGGAGAGAGGGAUCAUUUCGUCGACGAUCGAGGAUCGUCGUCAACGACGUCGUCGUCGUUGUCUCGUCGACGAGGAGCUUGGAAAUCGUCGGGAGGACGACGCAAAAACGUCGGUUUGUUACGAUCAACGUUUCGACGAUUUCUCUAAAUCGAAUAGAGGCGAAGAAACGCGCGAGGAUCGUAGAAGAUCGAGGAGUAUCGAGAAAGUUUCUAGAUAUGAAUUAGGCCGUGCAAGGAGUAACGACGCGAAUGGUUUUCGAGAGUUGGACGAGCGAAUUCCAAGAUACAUGCUUCGAGAAGCCGAGUCUCAUGUUCGCGAGGAGAUGUCUGGGUUGAACGUAGACGACAAUAUUCGACGUGUAGAAGGUAGACGUGCGCCCUUCGAUAGGGACAACGACCGUCGAGAGAAGGAGAAUUCUUCGAGGAAGAGCCAAGACGCGUACGUGGUCGAAAUCACUCGUAGACGAUCAAGAUCCAAGGACGUCGAGGAGGAUCGAGCUCGUACGAAGGACGAGACGAAGAGCGGUAGUAUGGCUCGUCCGUACGAAGUAUUGCCCGGGGAAUUUGACGUUAGAAUACAGAGAUACGAAAGAGCACCGGUCGAGGGUAAGAGGGAUCAGGAAUAUUUAAAAAAAAAUCUUCGCGAUCCUUCGAAGGAGAGAGAAACGAUCAGGAAGAUCUCAUUCAGCGGAGACACGGAUAUGCCACAAAGGAUGCAUUCGAAGAAGGAUACCGGUAUAACGAGGAGAACGUCUUUCAAGGAUCAGGAUAACGAGGUACGAGGACGGAAUCCGUUCAAGAACGAUUCGGAUGGUGGAAUCAAGUGUACGAUAAAGAGUCGAAAGAGUGAUGUCACUGAAAGGGAAAAGACCGAAUUGGUAGAUAGUGCCGAUUUAGGAAGAAGAAGUUCUUUCAAAGCGAAACAUCCCGAGUACGGUAAGAUCUCGUUCGAGGAGGAGGAGAAAGAAAAAAGAUCGUCGAGAGAGCAUACGCGACUCUCUAACGCAAGAAUAAUAUCCUUCGGGGAUGAUAAAAUUGUUGGAGAAAGAAGACGGACCCUUGAUAAUCAAGAUCGUGGAAUAAUUACCAGUAUUUCUUUCAAGGACGAAAACUCCGUCGAGUCGACUACGAGUCCUGUACGUCGAGUCUCGAAAGAACCGAGAGAAAACAUUUUAGGGAGACGAAUCUCUUUUAAAGAUCGAGGGAUCGAAUCUGAGAGGGAACAUUCUUACGGAGUUUAUUGCGACGUUGGUAAGGAUCUAAACGAAGAAGAAUCAAGAAGGCGAAGUAGUUCGUUCGACGAUCGAUUCGUCGAAUCUGAUAGAAAUUUUUUCACGAGUCGCGAGAGAGGGGUACCCGCCGGAACGAGUCCUUGGAAGGAUCGAAAUGAGAUAGAAUCGAGAGUUCGCUCCUCGAAUGGGGCGAUGAUAAAGAAAAUAAGUGAAGAGGGUACUCGGGAUAAGAAAUUGGAAAGGCAUUCUCGAGCUUUUACAUCGGAGAGAGUAGACGAGGAUUUGAAAGAAAAUUUUCAAGAAACGAACGAUCGAAAGGAUUCUUGGCGCGAGGGUAACAGACUCUUUGCUGUAAGGUAUCUUAAAGAGAAUGGUAGAGGGAGAAGGGCGGAAGGGAUCUCAGGAAGGGAGAAGAGUGGAAGUCUCGAAGAUGCUUACGAGGAGGACGAAGGAGACGAGAGCGAAAUCGAGCAAGAAGAUUCGAUUCGAACGAACGGCCGUCGUAUCUCCGAUAAUCGAGAUUCUGAUUCGAAGGGAAGAAUCGCUCGUGAACGAAAUGGUACGACUAUUGUAAGGAUUCGUCCUAAUAUUUCGGAAAAUUCGAGACGACGUCGACGUAUGCAAGAUUUUGGUCUGGAACGACGCAAAAGGUGCGACGUGUCUUCGCAGCGUUAUGAUAGCGACGAGGAAAGCGGAGAGGAGGGUGAGGAGGAUCAGGGGAAGCAGGAGGAGGAAGAUAAGAAAAAGGUGAUGCCGAUUGUAAAGGAUGACGAGGAUGCUGACAACGAGCAACGACUGGAUUCUUGGCGCGGAUCUCGUAGAGAUGGCUUAAUACCAGGAAUACCCCAUGGAUCUACUCCCUCGAGAAGACUUUGGAAUUAUCGCGAAGGGGGUGUCCUGAUCACGGACGUCGAGGAGGGGCAGCCAUGUUUACAGUGUGGAGACGUGUGUCCUGGAUUUUCCCCACACAUUUGGAGAAAGAAUUGUACGAGUUGCAAGUGUCCUCGAGAGGAUCACGAUGUGUGCCACGAGGAAUGGGCAUCUGUUAGAUCCCGAUUGGGACUCAAAGCAGACGAAUCGAACGGUCUCCCUGGUUUCUCUGAUCCAAGAGAAAGAGGUCUGGCUUGGGCACCUCCUGGACUACCACCCCAUAAGGUGGACGAAUACUUUUCAAUGUUACCAGAAAUUUCAGUACCAAGGCUAGGUACUCCUGGCGAACGACUCAGAGAUCGUCAGUUAGCUUUCCAACUUCCUAAACAAGACUUGGCAAGAGCUUACUGUCGUUAUCUCGAUCUGAAACAUGCUUCCAGCGCGGAUGAUUUUAUGGCUGCGAGAAACGAAAUAGCUUUGGAUAUAGGAACGGUUCAAGAAAUUGUUGAAGAAGGUUCGUGCUGUGGAGCUUGUCAAGAACCCCUAAAGUAUGGUAGCCUCGCCGUAUCGGCGAGUAAAUUGGGACUACUUUAUCAUCCGGCGUGCUUUCGAUGCGCUGAUUGCAAAGAACUUUUGGUGGAUCUUGCUUAUUGCGUACACGAAGAUAUGAUAUUUUGUGAAAGACAUUAUGCCGAACAAUUGAAACCUCGAUGUUCAGCUUGUGACGAAGUAUAUCUCUUUGAUAGCAAAUUAAUGCGAUCGUAAACGUCUCUUAAACAUUUAUGGCAAUGCCAUGGUGAAUCAAAAACCUGAUUUAUUAAAGCUACUUGGAUCAGUUUGGAGAAUUUUUCUUGCGUCGUUGACAUUGCUUUCGAGCGCGGGAAACCUGAAAUUCCGGUGCUGACCUAAAUACGAUGAUCAAGGAGAGAUCAUUAAUCAGAUGUCUUUUUCGUUACGGCCUCGAGGUAUUUAAUAUUUACUUAAAAACUGCGAAUAAUACGAUAUACAAUGAAAAGGAGAUGCGACGGUUUCUUCAAAGAUUUCUCAAAUCACAUUUCGUUUUGUUCACUUGAUAAUUCUUUUUAUUGAACGUUAAAUAAAAUAUUCUUUGGAAGCUCGCAAAAUUGUUUGAUAUUUAUUGAAAAUAAAUAAGAAAAGAAAAAAGGAAAACGCGCAAGAUAUAAGGUAAAAAAAAAGGAAAGGUAUGAAUUCUACAAUAAUGCUAGGAUAGAAAAUCCUAAUCAUUUCUCAACGGGAUUCCGAAUCCUCGUAAAUAAUUACUUUCCUCGUAAAUUCGAUUGAUCGAAAGGCACAAAUAUAGAUCAUCGAGAGUUCGAUAAGCUCGUUCGUACUCGUUUCGAUAUCUUUUUGGAUGGUAGCCAGAACGGUGUACCGCGCGCAAAGCGCGUGCCGAGGAUCCUCUCGACGAUGAAAUCAUAAGCCAUGAGGUAACGGAAAGAAGAUCUAUUGUGUGACGUGAAAUAAAGAGAAAAGGACGUCAUUUCAAAAAAGAAAAAAAAAGAAUCAAGAGAAAACACAAGAAAAAAACGACCUUACGUAUUCGAUUCGUCGAGAUUUGCAAUCGCUUCGAGAUCCUUAAAAAGAAAAAAAAAAAAAAAACAGAAAAAAAAGAAUUUACGAUGGAAAUUAAUAGAUCGUUCGAUCGAUUCUUAAUCGUAUUCGCCGCGAAUGAUCGCAUUCGAUCGCAAUCGUUCGAUUUUACUCGUCCAGGGUUAUUCGUUCUAAGUAUAGAAUUUAGCCGCAUACAGUGGACCCACGUCGUCGCGGAGUCGACGCGACGGUGGCGGCAAGACGGAGAGGAGAAGUCGAGCGUUCUUUGCUUUCCGCUCGCGGAAAUAAAACAGUUCUUCACCGGAUACGCUCGCACGGAUAAGCCGUCGAUAAUCUCGGGAUUGACAAUCCUUAUUCGGCCUAGCUCUCUCUCUCUCUCUCUUUUUCUCUCUUUCUUUCUACUCUCUAUUCCUUCCGAUCUAUUUAUUUCUUGUAUCUUCCUUUCUCUUUCACAGCAACGAAAACUGUCCAGAGAAACUCGUGACACGUUUGGCCACGUAUGUCUGUUUGCGUCGUUAAAAAAAGAGGAACGGAAAGAGGGGGAGGAAGAAAGAGAGAGACUGAGAUAGAUAGAUAGAGAUAGAGAUACAUAGAGAGAGAGAGAGAGAGGAGUAUCAGAAAACGUGGUUGGAGAGACGAAUACGUGGUCCGUGUUACGUAGUGGACAUAAACCGAGUCUAGCGUGGGUGUCUUCUGCUUCUCAAGGAUUACGUAAUCUCGUCUCUUUCUUCUGCUUACGUCAGCUAUCUCGAAGAUCGCGGACGAAGACGAAGACGAAGACGAUGGACGAAAAGGAUCUUCCGUCUCGUCUCUAUCGGUCUUAUCUUUGGAUGAUUUAUCAGAGAAAAAUCAUCGAAUAUACGAUGCCAUGUGAUCGAUCCGUUUUGAAAAAUACAUCGAUACGUAUUUUCAGAGUUAUUAUAUUUCCCUGAAAAAUCUAGAUCAUCUUCCUUGUGAUCACGAUUGGAACGGCUUUUUCGAUCUAAUAUCGAGCAACGAACGAACAACGUUCUUCUCUUCGAUCGAAGACGAUCUAUCUGAGGUUGAAUACUUCUUCAGCCAGAAAUUAGUUGGAGAACGGGCAUCGAUGUUAAAAGGAACGACCGUGUGCCAAUAAAAUGAUACGCGACGCGAUCUUUCGUGGAGUGUUUAACCGAUUUUAAUCUUGUUGUGCAAGAACUCCUCCUAUAUAAAGGAUUUUAUUGAGAAA